rnacentral:lncRNA from 1 species
GUUUGCUAAUUGUUUUACAUUGUCUUAUUGGGUCUUUUUAUAGCUGACUAUUCGGUAUCGGCUUUGCUCAUUGUAGAAGGCCGUACGGUGACCUAUAGUUGUGAAUGUUUGUGUCAUUUUGGUUGUAUUUGUGAAUAGUUGUCUCAUUUACAAUAAUACCACAUCUUCUUUUUUAUAGGUAAAUGUUUAUUGGUUUCAUGGAGUCUAUAGUAAAAGGAAGAUUAUUUUUUCAAACAUGAUGAUGUUUAUUAUGAUUUUCUUAUAAUUUUUUUUUUCUCUUAUAUCAUAACAAAAAGAUUUUAUAACUUGAGUCUGAAAAUUGAUAUCUAAAUAGUCAAUAUAGUGUUAAUAAUUCAG